rnacentral:rRNA from 1 species
UACAGGGGGGGCAAGCGUUGUUCGGAAUUACUGGGCGUAAAGGGCCAGUAGGCGGCCAACUAAGUCACACGUGAAAUCCCCAGGCUUAACCUGGGAACUGCGUGUGAUACUGGAUGGCUUGAAUUCGGGAGAGGGAUGCAGAAUUCCAGGUGUAGCGGUGAAAUGCGUAGAUAUCUGGAGGAAUACCGGUGGCGAAGGCGGCAUCCUGGACCGAGAUUGACGCUGAACGGCGAAAGCUAGGAGAGCAAACGGG